UAAGAUAUGUACACAUAUAUCUACAACACGAUCUGCAGUUGUUUUUUUUACACGAACGAACUUAAUCGCAAGACAGACAGUGUCAGACAGUCUUGUUAUCGACACGAACUCCGACAGAACACGCGAGUUGAUCCUGCGAUCAAGCAAGUUAUCAUUCUUUCGAAAACAUACGUGCCGCUCGUCAGAUCGACAAGGCGGGUUAUGAACCGUGUUUCACAGAGACGCGGAAGAUAAAUACCAAUGUACACGACAAUACGGUUACGAUCUAGCCAAACACACAACAAAUAUAUACCUGCCACCGGGAUGAUCGGAGAAAAAGAACAGACGGAGUUGGGGUUACUCACUUCGUCCAAACAAGGUCCCCGUCGACGGUUGAAAACACUGUCAGGAAAAACAGAGUUCGCUCGUCGCUACCAUGGAUCCGACGAAAUUUUCCACAACAGACUCACUAGUGACGCUUGUGUAAUUCAGAAAUGACGUCAUAGGCAAAAAUGACGAGGCUAGGACGGCGUGCGUGAAACCCUCCCGAGAACUCGCGGCGACAUGUGUUUUGACGUUUCGCGACGAAUUUCUCGUGAAAUCGACAAAUACGAGAUCUUAUCAACGUGCGUCCUUAGAAAAUCUACCUUGAUCAAUAUAGCGGCCGGUUAUUAGUGACAUCUGGCGAGGAUCUGUCAAGCACGACGCUAUACCCAUCCACGAUACAAUACUUUUCCGCGCUGCUUCCGCAAUCUCUUCCAUAUAGAUAUUUCAGUUAUAUAUGUACAUGACGCAGGAUAUUAAUAAGCAUUUCGAUCGCUUAAAUAGCUGAAGCAACUGUAGAUGACGUACAAUUGAAACGAUCCGUGGUUUAUUGAAAUUAUAAGUAUUUUACUUCAUCACAAAGAUUACAUCAUAUUACACUAUGUGUAUAUGUUCGACAAUACAAUGGGAUAUGUUCCAUUUCACACAGUGCGACGACAAGGAUUGCUAUCUAGUCGGUAGAAAUGAAAAUAAAUAAGAUAUUCCUGGGGCGAGACUCUCCAUUUCGAACGCCAGGAUCUCUUCACGGUGCCCAUGGAGAGGAGGUCGCAAAGGAUCAAUCGCCUAGCACCCCAAGGUGAUAGGUCGCGCGUCAAGAAAUCCAACAUGGCGGGCAUAUGAACAAAAACAUCGUCGUCUAAUUUUAGUAUAUAUUUGGCACCUGAAACAACAGAAUAAAGUUAGUCCGAGAAU